CCCUUAGAUGUUCUGGGCCGCACGCGUGCUACACUGAGUGGAUCAGCGGGUCAGGUUGCGCGAAAGUGUUUCCUAAUCUUGAAAUCCGCUCGUGAUGGGGAUUGACGGUUGCAAUUUUCCGUCAUGAACGAGGAAUACCUUGUAAGCGCGGGUCAUCAUCCCGCGCUGAAUACGUCCCUGCCCUUUGUACACACCGCCCGUCGCUCCUACCGAUUGAGUGGUCCGGUGAGGCUUUGGGAUCUGAGCAAAGAGAGCGUUUCGCUCGUUUUGCCCGGAAAACCCAGUCGAACCUUAUCAUUUAGAGGAAGGAGAAGUCGUAACA
rnacentral:rRNA from 1 species